rnacentral:rRNA from 1 species
AAUGGGGGAAACCCUGAUGCAGCGAUGCCGCGUGAGUGAAGAAGGCCUUUGGGUUGUAAAGCUCUUUCGUCGGGGAAGAAAAUGACUGUACCCGAAUAAGAAGGUCCGGCUAACUUCGUGCCAGCAGCCGCGGUAAUACGAAGGGACCUAGCGUAGUUCGGAAUUACUGGGCUUAAAGAGUCCGUAGGUGGUUAAAAAAGUUGGUGGUGAAAUCCCAGAGCUUAACUCUGGAACUGCCAUCAAAACUUUUUAGCUAGAGUAUGAUAGAGGAAAGCAGAAUUUCUAGUGUAGAGGUGAAAUUCGUAGAUAUUAGAAAGAAUACCAAUUGCGAAGGCAGCUUUCUGGAUCAUUACUGACACUGAGGAACGAAAGCAUGGGUAGCGAAGAGGAUU